UGGUGGAGUGAUUUGUCUGGUUAAUUCCGUUAACGAACGAGACCUUAGCCUGCUAAAUAGUUGUGAGAAACUUCGGUUUCUUAGCAGCUUCUUAGAGGGACUUCGUGUGUUUAACACGAGGAAGUUUGAGGCAAUAACA
rnacentral:rRNA from 1 species